AGGAGGCAGGUAGCCUAGUGGUUAGAGGAGGCAGGUAGCCUAGUGGUUAGAGGAGGCAGGUAGCCUAGUGGUUAGAGGAGGCAGGUAGCCUAGUGGUUAGAGGAGGCAGGUAGCCUGGUGGUUAGAGGAGGCAGGUAGCCUGGUGGUUAGAGGAGGCAGGUAGCCUAGUGGUUAGAGGAGACAGGUAGCCUGGUGGUUAGAGGAGACAGGUAGCCUGGUGGUUAGAGGAGGCAGGUAGCCUGGUGGUUAGAGGAGACAGGUAGCCUGGUGGUUAGAGGAGGCAGGUAGCCUGGUGGUUAGAGGAGGCAGGUAGCCUGGUGGUUAGAGGAGACAGGUAGCCUAGUGGUUAGAGGAGGCAGGUAGCCUAGUGGUUAGAGGAGGCAGGUAGCCUAGUGGUUAGAGGAGGCAGGUAGCCUAGUGGUUAGAGGAGGCAGGUAGCCUAGUGGUUAGAGGAGGCAGGUAGCCUAGUGGUUAGAGGAGGCAGGUAGCCUGGUGGUUAGAGGAGGCAGGUAGCCUAGUGGUUAGAGGAGGCAGGUAGCCUAGUGGUUAGAGGAGGCAGGUAGCCUAGUGGUUAGAGGAGGCAGGUAGCCUAGUGGUUAGAGGAGGCAGGUAGCCUAGUGGUUAGAGGAGGCAGGUAGCCUGGUGGUUAGAGGAGACAGGUAGCCUGGUGGUUAGAGGAGGCAGGUAGCCUGGUGGUUAGAGGAGGCAGGUAGCCUGGUGGUUAGAGGAGGCAGGUAGCCUAGUGGUUAGAGGAGGCAGGUAGCCUAGUGGUUAGAGGAGGCAGGUAGCCUGGUGGUUAGAGGAGGCAGGUAGUCUAGUGGUUAGAGGAGACAGGUAGUCUAGUGGUUAGAGGAGGCAGGUAGCCUGGUGGUUAGAGGAGGCAGGUAGCCUAGUGGUUAGAGGAGGCAGGUAGCCUAGUGGUUAGAGGAGGCAGGUAGCCUGGUGGUUAGAGGAGGCAGGUAGCCUGGUGGUUAGAGGAGGCAGGUAGUCUAGUGGUUAGAGGAGGCAGGUAGCCUGGUGGUUAGAGGAGACAGGUAGCCUGGUGGUUAGAGGAGGCAGGUAGCCUGGUGGUUAGA